rnacentral:lncRNA from 1 species
CCACCCCCUGAGGCCCCCGCCCCUCCCCAACCAGCCCCCCUCCCACCGCUUUCCUGCAGGUUUGGGCUAUGGCAACGGCAACAGCAACGGUGGUCUGGGAGCCGGGUUCUUCCCUGAGGUCCGCCCACAGCCAGGGUUCCCAGGGGCCGAUGGCUUUCUGAACGGUCAGGCUGCGGGCCUGAGGGGCUUUCCCUGGCCCUCCCUCCGGGCCUGGGGGGCUGCCUUGAAGCCUACAUACCGGGUCGGAGGCACAUACCCAGAAGUCGGGAGCCAACCAGGGCCCUAUGGGCAGCUGAGGCCAGAGCUGGGCCCUGGGCCCUUGGGAGGCCCUGAGGUGAAAAGAGGCAGCAAUGGCCCCCUGGGAAAUGGCUUUGGAGGUGAGAGGGAACUCAGGGCCCCGCCCCCAGCCACCCCAUGCCACCAUCAUCACACCUCCGGGCUGCACUGGGGGCAACCCCGACCUGUGGGAGGAACAGAUAGUGGCUCUCAGGCCACCUGUGGGUGCCUGGUGGGUGGCUGGCCCCAGAGAUCCGAUAGAGGGCCCGUGUCCCCCAGGAGGUGAGCAGGGGCCAGAGCUCAGCUGGGCCCUGCUCUGUCUAUGCCUAGGCCGCUGACUUCUUGGGAAAUGCUGAGCACCCGAGCACACCCACGGCCUGUCCUGAGCGCCUCUGCAUGCAAGCCUGGUCUUCAGGCAAGGCCAGCCAGACCCUCCGGCUUGGCCUCUGGCCUGGGGUUUCCUGCAGGCUGAAAGUCUCAAUAAAGGCAGUGUGCUUC